UACGUAGGGUGCAAGCGUUGUCCGGAAUUAUUGGGCGUAAAGAGCUCGUAGGCGGUCUGUCGCGUCUGCUGUGAAAAUCCAGGGCUCAACCCUGGACCUGCAGUGGGUACGGGCAGACUAGAGUGCGGUAGGGGAGAUCGGAAUUCCUGGUGUAGCGGUGAAAUGCGCAGAUAUCAGGAGGAACACCAAUUGCGAAGGCAGCUCGCUGGGACGUAACUGACGCUGAGACGCGAAAGCGUGGGGAGCAAACAGG
rnacentral:rRNA from 1 species